GGAUGUGAGGGCCAUCUGUCUGUGACAUCUGUUACCUCACUGAUCACCAAGGUUGAUGUGGUGAUCUGGCUGGCUAGGCAGGUGUCCUUGUCCUCCCUCACCGCUCCAUGUGUGCAUCCUUCUGGAAGCUGCAUGCUCAGUCUAAUAGUAGAACCUUCCCUGAUAGAGGAGGACCAUUUUUUGAUCAAGGUAUAGGAGUAGCUGCAUUUCCCCACCAGAACCUCCAAACAAGCUCUCGAGGUCCAGUUGUAGGAGAAUGUAGGGUAAUCAAGACUCCAGACACGUCCAAAUGAGGUCCUGUGUGUGGCAGUCUGCCUUUCUCU
rnacentral:snRNA from 1 species